rnacentral:rRNA from 1 species
AGAGUUUGAUUCUGGCUCAGGACGAACGCUGGCGGCGUGCUUAACACAUGCAAGUCGAACGAUGAAGCCUAGCUUGCUAGGUGGAUUAGUGGCGAACGGGUGAGUAAUACGUGAGUGACCUACCUUUGACUCUGGGAUAAGCCUGGGAAACUGGGUCUAAUACCGGAUACGACCAAUCUCCGCAUGGGGUGUUGGUGGAAAGCGUUAUGGAGUGGUUUUAGAUGGGCUCACGGCCUAUCAGCUUGUUGGUGAGGUAAUGGCUUACCAAGGCGACGACGGGUAGCCGGCCUGAGAGGGUGACCGGCCACACUGGGACUGAGACACGGCCCAGACUCCUACGGGAGGCAGCAGUGGGGAAUAUUGCACAAUGGGCGCAAGCCUGAUGCAGCGACGCCGCGUGAGGGAUGACGGCCUUCGGGUUGUAAACCUCUGUUAGCAUCGAAGAAGCGAAAGUGACGGUAGGUGCAGAGAAAGCGCCGGCUAACUACGUGCCAGCAGCCGCGGUAAUACGUAGGGCGCGAGCGUUGUCCGGAAUUAUUGGGCGUAAAGAGCUUGUAGGCGGUUGGUCGCGUCUGCUGUGAAAGGCUGGGGCUUAACCCUGGUUUUGCAGUGGGUACGGGCUAACUAGAGUGCAGUAGGGGAGACUGGAAUUCCUGGUGUAGCGGUGGAAUGCGCAGAUAUCAGGAGGAACACCGAUGGCGAAGGCAGGUCUCUGGGCUGUAACUGACGCUGAGAAGCGAAAGCAUGGGGAGCGAACAGGAUUAGAUACCCUGGUAGUCCAUGCCGUAAA